rnacentral:piRNA from 1 species
UAAGAUAGGUCUAUAGGCAAACCUGUAGGAC